UAGCUGAUCAAGUUACACUGGAAAUGCACUACUAUGGAGGAAAACCGGGUUGUGUCAUCAAUGACUUGAGGCCUAUUGGUUAGCUUAGCAACGACCACAAAGGAAAGCAGCUGACAGACCAGGGCCCAUAGCAGUGCUGAUUUAGGAUCAGUUUAGCCUUAUAGAUCACAAUGAAUAUGAUUACAAUGACAAGGGGGAGCUGGUCCUAGAUCGCUAUUCCUACUCUGAAGCCGCUUUGUGAAUACGGGCCCUGGAAGAAAGCUGUUGCCCAAUUCCUUGCACAGCAGUCGUUUCACCACAGGACCCUAGAGGCCACUGCGUGCUGUGACAUGGGCCUGGAUGAUGACAAAUGUUCUUCAAGCUGCCUGAUUGAAUACUGGGGCGUUCAGUGCUACUGGAAACAAGUUCCUUACCAGGAAGCACAGCAACAGUCUCUCUCACAGCCAUUCUGUCAACAUGUAUUGAAUGUAACCACUCAAAUUUAUAUGAAUGACUACUGGCGAAAGCACUGACUUAUAUUUACUUUGUCUAUUUGAACCAUUCUUCAAUCUUGACUGAGAUACAUAUUUUAGUUCACACGCCUUUGUGACGUGUCUGAUAAACAUGAAUAAAAAUCUA